GGACAUCUGAACUGUCGUAUCUGGGUGCCUCUGCAAAGACAGUCACUACAUAUGAGUGCUGGUGAAAGUGUUGAAUGAUGAUGAAAGUAUUUUUCUUUCUGCUGGGUAUGUAUGUAACGUGUGCAGGUGCAUGCAUUCAUGCACAUAUGUGUAGGUAAAAAUUGAUAAAUUGAACAAAGGGAGUGACCACCAGAGUUUAAUAGGUAACUCUUAUGUAAUGGAAAUGAGAGAGCAGCAGCUUUGGAUAGUAAUGAAUGAAAUAGCAUCCUGUUAAGUAUGAAAUUUUCAUCGAGAUCAGUCUGUAAUUGAUAUUGUAUUUCUUGAUGUGCCUCUUGACUGUUGUACCAAAUUUUUAUUGCACAGUCACUUACCAUCUGUCAACACUGAAAUUUUACUGUCAUUAAUGCAUUAGUCUGAAAAUAAAUUUAUUCCAUGGAAUCGACCAUAUUAAAUCAGUGUAUCAGCCUGAAAAUAAAUUUACCAUAAGAGAUUGACCAUGUUAAAUCAAGUACAGCAUGUACUCAUAUAUAAUUUAUGUAUGGUACAUACUGAUUGCAAAAUUCAUUGGUGGCUCUAUAUUAUUCAUAAUUUGCAGAAAGCUAUUACAUCACUACAUUGUUCUGAAUUUUCUUUAGAUUAUUUUAAAACUUAAUAAUUAAUUGCCUUAUGUUAUUUCUAUAUACGUGGUUCUUAGUGUGACUGAAUUGUUUUUGUUAUUCAUCAUUAAAUCAUUGGUCAGAUACAUGGAUCUUGUUUAAUUUAUUGUAAGUGCAUCAGCAAAAAAAUUAUAAACUGUGUGUGGUGCAGAUAUUAUGCAGAGAAUUCAUAGUUUGGAGAUUAAGAGGUGUAGAGUUAUUAAAAAUAUCCAGAGGGCUGAGGAGGGAUUGUUGAGGUGAUUUGGUCGUUGGAGAGGAUGGGGCAAAGUAAGAUGACUUGGAAGGUGUAUAAAUAUGUAGUGGAGGGAAGGUGGGGUAGGGGUUAUCCUUGGAAAGGCUGGAGGGAGGGGGUAAAGGAGGUUUUGUGUACAAGGGGCUUGUGCAUAUAACAGGCAUUUGUGAACAUGUUAGUGGAGACAAAGAUUUUUGGGAGUGUGAGCAGGGUAAUAUUUUGUGAAGGGAUUCAGGGAAACUGGUCAGCUGGACUCGAGUCCUGGAUGUGGGGAAGUAUAAUGCUUACACUCCAAAAGAGGAGUUUGGGAUAUUUGCUGUUUGGGGGACAUCUAAACUGUCAUCUGCAUGCCUCUGGCAAGACAGCGAUAAUGUGAAUGGUUGUGAUUUUUUUUUUUUUUUUUUCGGGUCCCCUACUUUGGUGGGAGACUGCCAGCGUGUAAAAAAAAGGGGGUGGGGGGGGGGGGGGCUUAAUAAGAUGUGACCUGAAACACAGUAAUUAGACUAGUAGCUGUUUCUAUCAUGUUUCUUUGCAGUUAAUCAGGUCCUUUAUGGAUAAGUGUUGAAACCUCCCUUUUUAGGUAAUGACCCAUAUAAUUUUUGUAAAUGUAUUGUCUCUUCCGUGUUGUCACUCUUUAGUGGUUAGGUUUGAACUUUCCUUGUGCCCGAGUAAGAAUCCAGCAACCAUCAAACUAAUUAGGAUUUUGGCCAUCCUCCCUUUAUCACUACUGCUUGUGGGUAAUAUUGGCAGAGCUAUGCGUUUCAUCUUGUUGAGAGGCGCACGACUAUUCCAAGGAUUAUUAGUCUUUAUACUUGAACAUGUCUUGACAGGAGAACCCCUCAAGGGAGGUUCCUUGAUGCUGGUGAGGGGCUCUUUAUCUAGGGAGUUGGAUCUGUGCUCGUUCCCUGAAUUAAACCUGAAUACCUUCCAAUCCCCCCCCCCCCCCCAGGCGCUGUAUAAUCCUACAGGUUUAGCGCUUCCCCAUGGUUAUAAUAAUUAACAGGAAAAUAUGCCAACUUCAUUUCAGACACUUCUCUGAAGCCCUGAUAGCAGUACUUGCUUUUUCUGCCCUCCUCUGAUAGUUCUACUUUUGCUGCAGACACUGAUUUUUUGAUAGUCAUUUUGGUUUAUUGACUGUAGUCACUGUCUGUUUUGUUGUUUCUCAAUGCCACCUCCCUAUUCUCUCCCUGCUGCUUACAGUGCUGCAUGACCCUUAUGGGUUUAGCACUUUUCAUGAAUAAUGUGUUGCCGUACAGCAUUUUUUGACUUUAUGGAUAUACCUUGUUCCAAAAAUUUAAUAUGUUAAGCAUUUGCUAUGUGACCGAAUGAAUUAAAGGACAUGUUUUAAAUUGCAAUAAAUGAUCCUUGAAUUGU